rnacentral:tRNA from 1 species
UCCCUGGUAGUCCAGUGGUUAAGACUCUGCGCUCCCAAAGCAGGGGGCCUGGUUCAAUCCCUGGUAGGGGAA